rnacentral:misc_RNA from 1 species
UAUUAAGAAAUGCAAUGGCGUGUGAGCAUGUUGUUGGUAAGUGUUAGCUUCAUGUUGAGCAGGUAUUGUUCGUUCGAUAUUAUGUAUGGUCUUACUUAAUCUACAUGCAUAUGUACUUAUUCACCAAUAUGUUUGUGUUUGAGCAUAAUAGUUUGCACUCAUGUAUUGGCAUAUAAGCAUGUUGGUUUAUUAUUUUCGCGCACAGCGAUCCUUUGAGUCGACCUAUUUUGCUACGAACUUCUGUCUAAUCUUUAUGGCUAGAUAUAAGACGUGUUGCGAAGUAUGUAGACUCACUUGUGAACGUGUUGGCGUGUGAGUGGCAAUUGGUACGUGCGUGUUGGUGGGCUCCUUGCUUUGUGCAACGAACCCCAUGCGUGCAUUCCUCUUCAGUUAUUCCCAAGGUUAGUUCAUUCAUCAUUGGGUUGGUUAAUGGUUUCUGUGUUGCUUACCUUGAAAUGGUAUUAGUCGUUUAAAUAAAAUAAUCGUUUCUCGUUCAACAUGUGUGGACGCGAGGCGACUUAUUAGUAUUAUUUGUGUAAGCAUUCAUUCAAUUUAUUGUUUUGAUUGUAGAUCACAAAUCAUACAUGCAAAUAGGGAUGCAGAAAAUAAAAACAUUGCUAGGUAUUCUCCUAGUAAUUGCAUUUGUCAUUAGACAUGAUAGACUAUCGCGUAACUGGUGGCUUUCUUCCGAGUACAACUUAGUGAAUCUCACUCGUGCCGAUCGC